GAGGGGGGAUUCCCAACCAACAUGAUUUACCGUGGAAGGAAAGUUGAAAAGAACUUUGAAGAGAGAGUUCAAGAGUACGUGAAACUGAAGUGGUGUAAACGGACGAGUUCGAAAAGUCCGAAUGGUGAGAUUCAAGCUUACCGUGCCGGUGGCCCUCGGGUUCAGAUGGCGUCGUCAGCUCGGGCUUCGGUUCGGGUCAUACGGCGUCACUCGUCCUGGGGGUAUCUGUCUGGUGCGGUGGGCUGCACUUCUCGCCUAGUAGGACGUCGCGACCCGUUGGGAUGUUCCGUUCACUGGCCCUUGGUGGAGCCCGCGCCGGAGCGUGGCCUUGUGCCGCGUUGCUGUUUGCACGGACCCGAGGUGACCUGAUCGGCGCCCGACGGUAUCAAAGCUUGGGAAGAGGCCGCACAGAGGAUGCGUUCGAUGGCCGUUUCGGCCUACACUCGGACAGGCCUGCACCCGGUCAGCGGCGCUUCUGCUUUCGAUACUCGUCCGACCCGUCUUGAAACACGGACAAGGAGUCUAAGAGGUCCGGCGUCUCGCGAUACCUUCUUGUGGGUGGUGGGGGGGGCGGGUUGUUGUCCCAGAUGUUGGGAUGGUCGCCUGGCGGUGCCAUUUUAUGCGGUUGUGACCCAGCUG
rnacentral:rRNA from 1 species